AACGCACAUUGCGCCCGCCAGUAUUCUGGCGGGCAUGCCUGUUCGAGCGUCAUUACAACCCUCAGGCCCCCGGGCCUGGCGUUGGGGAUCGGCGAGGCGCCCCCUGUGGGCACACGCCGUCCCCCAAAUACAGUGGCGGUCCCGCCGCAGCUUCCAUUGCGUAGUAGCUAACACCUCGCACUGGAGAGCGGCGCGGCCAUGCCGUGAAACACCCAACUUCUGAAUGUUGACCUCGAAUCAGGUAGGAAUACCCGCUGAACUUAA
rnacentral:misc_RNA from 1 species